UCGACGAUUGGAAGGGGUGUAUUUAUUAGAUACAAAACCAAUGCCCUUCGGGGCUUACUUGGUGAUUCAUGAUAACUUCUCGAAUCGCACGGCCCCGCGCCGGCGAUGGUUCAUUCAAAUUUCUUCCCUAUCAACUUUCGAUGCUACGGUAGUGUCCUAGCAUAGUUGCAACGGGUGACGGAGGGUUAGGGCUCGACCCCGGAGAAGGAGCCUGAGAAACGGCUACUACAUCCAAGGAAGGCAGCAGGCGCGCAAGUUACCCAAUCCCGACACGGGGAGGUAGUGACAAUAAAUACUGAUACAGGGCUCUUUUGGGUCUUGUAAUCGGAAUGAGUACAAUUUAAAUCCCUUAACGAGGAACAAUUGGAGGGCAAGUCUGGUGCCAGCAAAU
rnacentral:rRNA from 1 species